AUCCCAGGACCCUGGGAUCACGACCUGAGCCGAAGGCAGAGGCUUUAACCCACUGAGCCACCCAGGCACACCAGGAUUAUGGUUUUGAACCCGUCAGAUAUUUUAAGAGAAGAAAACUCAAAGGAGACUCAAAGAAGGAAAAGAAAUCUUGAGAACCGGAGGCCAAACGAGACGGCAGAGGUUUUCAACGUCAACCAGUGAGAUAAGUGAUGUCUACGAGUUACACCGAGGACAAGGCAACAGAGAAUAAAAACAUUAAUUUAUUUUGGAGAAGAGUCACACAGCAUCCUAAAGAGAGAUGAUGGCUCACCAUUCACACGCCGGCCUGAAAUGCUUCAGAGGUGAUUAUCUGAGUGGUUCUGGGUAGUUUCGACCUACGGCUCCGGAUAGGUGAAAAUGAUCCCCCUUCUACUGCGUGCUGGGCGGACACUCACCCCACUGCAACCAAACGGUUAGAGUCCUACCCAGUUCUUGGAGCAAAACAAUCUGGAAACUGCAGCCCAUUUUUAUUGCAUUUUAAUGGUUUCAAUAAAUGUUUAAUGUGACAAUCAGUAUUAGAA